rnacentral:rRNA from 1 species
GAUCAUGGCUCAGGAUGAACGCUAGCGGCAGGCCUAACACAUGCAAGUCGAGGGGCAUCACAGGUAGCAAUACCGGGUGGCGACCGGCGCACGGGUGCGUAACGCGUAUGCAACCUACCCAUAACAGGGGGAUAACACUGAGAAAUUGGUACUAAUACCCCAUAACAUCAGAACCGGCAUCGGUUUUGGUUGAAAACUCCGGUGGUUAUGGAUGGGCAUGCGUUGUAUUAGCUAGUUGGUGAGGUAACGG